AGGAAGGGGUGGGAAACAUGAUAAUGACAGCCCGGGCUCUCGCCGGCCGGGCUCCUUCUCUCGCUGGCUCCGCGGAUAUUUUGGGAGGCCCGUCGGUGCCAGGCGCAGUCAGCAGCGAUGUUGAAACUGAGGCUCAGAGAAGUGAGGAGCUUUGGCCAAAUUCUCAGAACUAGAAAUGGAUUUCCAGGCCAACUGACCCCUGAGGCUGAACCCCCAGACACAGAUGAGGAAAUUCAAGAUGGGAGAGCCAAAUGCUGCUGCAGAAGUCUUUAGCAGGUCACCCGACUCUCCUGGCCACCCCAUGAGAAAACAUCCUAGGGAGGCAGGGGUUCCAGGCACUCAGGUGUCCGUGUUGGCAUAGCUCACUGCCCUGCACCACUGUGCUGAGGCCAUUAGGGUUUGAGGGCCCACAGCCAAGAGUCACUGUAUUUGUGCAAAGUCAUAGAUGCAAACAAGACACCUCGGGACAUCCAGCUCCUACUGCUUGGGUCAUGGCCUGGGAGGCAAGGAUUGGGUUUCCCCCCCUGCAUCUGCCCCAGAGGUGCUUUGUGACCAUGACCAGCAAGCCACUUCCCUGGACUAGACUUCAGUGUCCUCAUCAAUAAAAACCAAUAAUUUUAAAUUUCUUAACACACCCAGGGCACCUUUCAACAUCUACAGAUAAACAAAUGGCUGUCACUUUAAGUAGCUGCCUCCCCUUAGAAGGGAUAAGACUAAGUAGGAUUAAAUGGCAGGAACAGACUCAGGACAAAUGUCUCCCAAAUCAGCUCAUGCUGUAGCAUCCUGGGCAGGGCUGGGGAGCACCCUCCUCCCCACCGGCUCUCAGUCCCCACCCCAACCCUAACUCCAGUCGGGUAGGGUCCUCUGACCAUGUGAAUACCCAAGACACUAUGCAGACAGUGAAAGAGGAUUCUAAAAUAACACUCUGACACCCAGGCCAAGCCAUUUGAAACCGUGUGCUACAUCUCCAGGGCAGAGGUUUGCAGUUUGUCGUCAAACUAUCAUGGGAGUCGUGGUUUGCGAACAGGAAGCAGCCUCUCAGAUUAUCUCGUCCACGUACGGUUUCAACAUCACCCGACCCCCCCACCCUCAAAUACACACACAUGCUCAUGGCCGCAGCCUUCUCGAUUGCAGCCCUCAAAUGCAGGGGCGCAUACGUUAAGGUCCAAGUCUAGCACCCAUUCCUCAACUCUGCAGCUCCAGUACUAGAAGAUAUAAUACAACUCAUUCAGGAAAAGCUUCAAAACAGGUUUUCCUUUCUCUGUACAUGAGGUGUCCAGGUGCAUAUAACAAAUAUACCCAUCAGCAGAAAUAAAAACUCUUAAUGUUGCCCAGGGUCGCACAGAAAUAGAAUUCAACAAAAAUGAUACCAAUAGCUAACAUUUAUUCAAUGUUUACUAUGUGUUAGGCCCUGUAAUCAUGCGUUAACUUAACCUUCCCAACCCUUUAUGAGAAAGUACUAUUCCUAUUUCAGAGAUGUAGAAAUUGAAGCUCAGGGAAGAUAAAU